AUCCUUUGCUCAGUCUGCCGCUUCCUCUGCAAGAAGCUCGGUCCAGACAGCACCAAACUCUCUAGAGGAAGGCCCACUGGUGAUCCAGGAGAGGAGAAGGUGGAGGAGCGACUUAGGAGAUUUGCACUUGUGGCGGCAGGCUCUCUGGAAUAACUGAACCUGCCAGGCUUCCCCAUCACCAUGUUCCCUCCUCAACAGCCAGCUGCGUGCCUGCUCGACCACACAGUGGUCAGCAGGUCUAGGCUUCAGAAAAACCUUACAGUUUGUCGCCCCCUGUCGGGUCCGGUCCCGGCUUGGCUGCGCAGGUUCCCGCGCAGCUGGCUGGAUGAGGUGGCGCAAAGGUUGGAGUGCAGAAGGCAAAGUGUCUCUUCAACUUUCCGGGCUGCGGCUUGGUUAUCUCCACCGCUCUGGAGCAGCUAAUGGUCCAUGAGGCGCACGCAAAGGUCUCCAGCAAUAAACUAAACAAGCAGAAGCAAGUUCCACUCUGGACCCGCAGGUGCGCGGCUUGAUUCUGCCGGGAAGGAACCCAGAGUAGGAGCAAACACGCCGCUUUCGCAGAGCAGCUCUGAAGUAGCCUGCGUCGGUUUUCCAGCAGCCGGGGACUGGUAGAACUGGGUUUCGCUGCUCCAGUCUCUCCUGACUCAGGCCUUGCACUUUCGUUGUUUCAUGAACACUGAGAAGUGCGUUACAUGGUUUGAAAUUAAAGUCAAACAAACGAUCUCUUUUCUUUUAAAAAAAAAAAAAAAAAAAAAA
rnacentral:lncRNA from 1 species